rnacentral:rRNA from 1 species
AAACGUAGGGGGCGAGCGUUGUCCGGAAUUACUGGGCGUAAAGGGUGCGUAGGCGGUCGUUUAAGUCCUGUGUGAAAGGCCCCGGCUUAACCGGGGAGAGCCAUGGGAAACUGGGCGACUUGAGUGUCGGAGAGGGUUGCGGAAUUCCCGGUGUAGCGGUGAAAUGCGUAGAGAUCGGGAGGAACACCAGUGGCGAAGGCGGCAACCUGGACGAUGACUGACGCUGAGGCACGACAGCUGGGGGAGCAAACAGGAUUAGAUACCCUGGUAGUCCCAGCCGUAAACGAUGAGUGCUAGGUGUUGCGGGUAUCGACCCCUGCAGUGCCGCAGUUAACGCAAUAAGCACUCCGCCUGGGGAGUACGGCCGCAAGGCUGAA